rnacentral:rRNA from 1 species
CCUACGGGAGGCAGCAGUGGGGAAUAUUGCACAAUGGGGGAAACCCUGAUGCAGCGACGCCGCGUGAGCGAUGAAGUAUUUCGGUAUGGAAAGCUCUAUCAGCAGGGAAGAAAAUGACGGUACCUGACUAAGAAGCCCCGGCUAACUACGUGCCAGCAGCCGCGGUACUACGUAGGGGGCAAGCGUAAUCCGGAUUUACUGGAGGUACAGGGAGCGUAGACGGUCCUGCAAGCCAGAUGUGGGAGCCCGGGGCUCAACCCCGGGACUGCAUUUGGAACUGUAAGGCUAGAGUGUCGGAGAGGCAGGCGGAAUUCCUAGUGUAGCGGUGAAAUGCGGAGAUAUUAGGAGGAACACCAGUGGCGAAGGCGGCCUGCUGGACGAUGACUGACGUUGAGGCUCGAAAGCGUGGGGAGCAAACAGGAUUAGAUACCCCAGUAGUC